rnacentral:lncRNA from 1 species
UACAACCCAGGCACCUGGAAUAGUAGACAGCUGUCAUAAAAACCCAGCAAAACUGGGUUCCUGUAGGCCUUUUAUAUAAAACAACAGAUUUGAACAGCUGGUAAAUGUCAUCUUGUAGAAUAUGUCACAUAUAAUCUAUCAAGAUAAUGCCUAUUUUUUUUUUUUUCUGACAAAUUUACACUUUUUUUUUUUUUUUUUUUUACCUUAAAUCAAGCUCGACAAGAAGACUGUGCCCUUUCAACACCCUAAUAGAUGUGUCCUCCUGAUCAAGCCAGAUGACCUAAUAGGAGACCACCAAGGGUCUCUGCAAGAGCAUGCUGGCAUAGUUUUUUUACCUGGAACCAGCCAAAAAAAUGUGGAUAAUUGUCACCUGUAUCAGCAGAAAUCACUGUCUGGCAACCUUUCUAGCAUGAGAACAGAGCUGUGCUUGCUGAAAACAUGCAGUGUGAAACAAGGACUGGAAGAAACAAAACCAAACAGGAAUAGUUUGCCUGGAAAGUUAUCUCAAGACCCUCCAGCACUUCAUUUUGUGCAUCCCCAGAAGAGCAUCCCUCUCACAGCUCCUUCACAGCUGCUUUGCUUUCCUUGUCACCAACCAGACAGAAAACAAAGUGAUCAGAACUGGUCCAUGGGUGGGUGGUUUCCCUUUCUCUUUUGUUGCUCAAUUACUUGUUCUUGGACUGAGGAAGGUGAAAAAUCAGUGAGUUAUUCAUCUUGACUGCAUCUGAGGAGCUGAAGGGACUGCUGGAAGUAGUUCAGGAGUUGUUCUGUGCCUGCCAUUGUGGAGCCUGGGAUCUGCAGUGAAGCUUGGCUGUGCACAGGGUUGAAAGAUUGGAGAUAUAUAUUCAAAUUAUACAGCUCCCAUACAGUAGAGCAGUAAAUAUGAGGGGGGUGACAGUGAAAUGCCAAGUGGAGGCAGUAAGGGUCCAAGCACCAGACACCAGCUUACUAGAUAUAAAAAGCAGAGUGACAUGGCUAUGACAAACAUUCAGUGAAGGUAGAGGAGACUGUCCCCUAGGAACCUCAGCUCAGGUCCUCACAGACUCAGUAAGUCCCUGUCUGAACUGCUUGCAAGUCACACAGGAGCUGCCAAAUUGUGGGAUAGUGUUUUAAUGAUUGUGCUGAGAAUGGUUUUGGUUCUGACUCCGGCUACUGCCUGGAAAACAUUGGGACCACUCAUGGUCCAUCUCCUGCUAAAGCCUGGCAAAGGCUUUCCAUAGCUCAUCCCAUGCUAUGAGAAGUAGCUGCCUACUUAUUUGCUCUGUGAUCUCUUGCAAGAGAAAUUAGUGCCUGAUGUUUUCCCCUAACACAUUCAGAGGCAUUACAGAGGAAGAGUGGGGACCUGCCUGGGGGAUCACAGAGCCACAAAGAGCUGCAGGAUCAUACUGUCCAC